UACAGGGGGUGCUAACGUUGUUCGGAAUUACUGGGCGUAAAGCGCGCGCAGGCGGCUAUACAAGUCAGAUGUGAAAUCUCGGGGCUUAACUCCGAAAGUGCAUUUGAAACUGUAUGGCUAGAGUACAGUAGAGGUUGGUGGAAUUCCCAGUGUAGAGGUGAAAUUCGUAGAUAUGGGGAGGAACACCGGUGGCGAAGGCGGCCACCUGGCCAGAUACUGACGCUGAGACGCGAAAGCGUGGGUAGCAAACAGG
rnacentral:rRNA from 1 species